AUCCCUGUAACCCAAUGGAUAGUGAGUUGGGCUUCUAAUCCAAAGGUCGUGGGUUCGAAUCCCACCUGGGAUG